rnacentral:rRNA from 1 species
GACGAACGCUGGCGGCGUGCUCAACACAUGCAAGUCGAACGGAGUGGCGAACGGGGGAGUAACACGUGGGCGAUAUGCCUCGCACUUCGGGAUAAAAUCGGGAAACUGGGUCUAAUACACGAUAGUUCAAGUUGAGCUCUGGGCCUAUCAGCUUGUUGGUGGGGUAAUGGACUACCAAGGCGUCGACGGGUAGCCGGCCUGAGAGGGGGUACGGCCAAAUUGGGACUGAGAUACGGCCCGGACUCAUACGGGAGGCAGGAGUGGGGGAUAUUGCACAAGGGGCGGAAGCCUGAUGCAGCGACGGCGCGGGGGGGAUGAAGGCCUUCGGGUUGUAAACUCCUUUCGACAGGGACGCGGGACCUGUAUAGGAAGCACCGGCUAACUCCGUGCCAGCCGCCGCGGUAAUUC